rnacentral:lncRNA from 1 species
GGCCUCUGUGCUGUGGAGGCUCUGGGUGGGCACUGCUGCCCCUGUUUUGGGGGAGAAAGUGGCAUUUUUUUGCUCAGUGAGCCUGUUCACUGGUAAUAUAGCUCCUCACGGUGGGGGGGCACCAAGGCCUCUCUCCUCCCUGCCACAGGCCUAGUGGGGCCUGUGGAGCCCAUCAGGGCCAUGGGCCUAAUGACCCUUGGGAGCCAAAUGAGCUCUAAUUAGCCCCUGUUAGGCUCCACAGUGCUGGGCGCUGUCACAACUGUGCCCCUCUCUCACCACGAUUAAAACAAAGCCCGUUUGCAUGCCAAGCUGCCGGCUGCAGGCACGGUGUCACUGCAGCACAUGGAGAUGUGCCCGAGCUGGAAGGUCGGGUCUGUUUUACGGCUCCAAACCCACCCGGACCCGCUGAUUUAUGAGAUCCGUCUGCAGCAGGCUGCAUGCGGCUGCUGCCUUGCUGAACUGGCAGCUGCAGGGUGGAUGAGCUCCCAGGCCUCAGCAACAGGUUUCCAAGGCGGAUCAGGGGAAACUGAGGCAAAGGAGUUUAAGGAGAAGACCUUCUCAGCCCAUGACUGUGGCACAAUUGCGGCGGCCGUGAGCAACACCAGCUUCAGUGAGGAGCCGUGCAUGCGAGGCAGAGGCGGCAGAGGAGGAGGCUCCACGGAGAGCUUCCAACCCUGAAGACGACGAAUUCAUGCAGAUGUUGUGCAGAUGGGCAGCGGCCGUGGGUGGCCGGGAGGUAGUAGAUCUGACACCAAGCUGCUGAGAUGAAAACUUGACCUGAGCUCCCUCGUUGUCUCUUCUCCCACUGCCCAGGCUAGCCCUGGAACGAAUCACCCGGGAUGCCGGGUCAUGCGCAAUUCUCCUUGGCAGGAGCUGCCAAAACUUAGUCUAAAUAGAGGACUGUUAAAUCAGGCAAAUUCUCGUCCAGGACCUCUCAGCUGCUAUUUAUAAAAGCUGCUGCUUUCCUUAGAGCUGAGCUGAAGAGCAUGGAAGGCUCAAGCAAUCUGGAAGAGGCUAAGCAAACCAACUGGAGCAGCGUGUCUGGUUUGAAGACAGCGCC